UCUUUUGGGUAUCUACACAUUAGUCCUACACUUUAUAUGACAAUGUAUUGGCCCCCUUAACAAUAAUGUCCAUAAGACCACUAAUAUAGGCCAAACUAAAAGAUAGCACAUAACAUAUAAUUAAUCCAUAUAUUGUCCUUAUGUAUGUAGUAUAAAUCCAAAUGUCUAACAAUUCAAACUACAAGGAAUACCUAUUUUUGAAGUAUUUCUUAUAAUUUUCCAUAGAUAGCUGAUUUGAAUUAAAAAAAAAUUGGUGAUCAAGAAUUACAGUGAUUAAUUCUGAUUGUAUCAAUUUUUGUUAGGAUCGAAAAAAUCAGGUGUCAUGUGGGAGUUGGUAAAACAAACCUUUAACGACGAUAAAUCAUACAUUAAAAGAGAAAUAUACCAAACGAAAUACAAACAUUUAACGUGAUCCGGUCAACUGACAUACGUCCACAGCGAAGAUGAGCAGUCCACUAUAUAAAAAGAGAGUACAAAAUAUCUAGAGAAUAACCCCACAAAAAGAUAAAUGCAAGUGACACACUAACACUUGCUCCGUAAAGUUCUACCCCAAACACGACUCUCAAACUUCUUAUGGCUACAUUGUGGAUGCUGUUGAAUGAGAAGGAAUGAUCCUUAAUUUUGUUUACCCUAAAAAUUGGAUAACAAUUAAACUUAUAAGGUGGUUUUAAGGAUACACGAUUUCACCUAAUAGCAAUUGAUAAACGCAAAGAUAACUGGUGCAAAUUGACAAUAAUGUAAAGCAAACCACCGUUAUGAACAAAGCCCUCCAACUUGAGUAUCCUCGAGCUAGUUAUGCAAGAACAAUUAAAAUGUAACAAACUGAUAAAUAAGAGAAUGUAAGCUAAAGAGAGAAUAUUGUAUUGCUUUAAUCUGUGUCCUUGUAAGGUGCCUAUAAAUGAUGGGGACUCCCCUUUAUAUAAUAGAGAAAUUCUAAUUAUGGUAUAACUCUAAUUACAGAAGUAAAUUCCAUGAUUAGCCUAAAUUACCGCCUUUGAUUUGAUCUAUUCUUGAAUUUCCAUAGUGAUCUUCGACCGAUUACAGAUAUCUCGCAUUUUUGUUAUUGCGCUUUGCUCGAAGUCGGUCAAAUUUGGUCUCGAUCGUUGUUGGCCUCAAUCUCGACAGGCACCUCGAUUCUCGAACUCGAGAGCUCGUCUUCGUGCUCUGGCCCGACCCAUUACAAGGCUGACCCUCGAUGUGAUCCCUUGUCUCGAUUAAAUAGGGCUCGAUUUUGACUAUAUACAAAUUUAUAGAAGUCCAAACCUUUUCCUACAAGAAAAGAAACUAACCAAAUAUGAAAAAAUUAUAUCUUCCUUCUAGGAAAAGAAAAUUCCAAUUAUAAUAAAUAUAUUGUCAUUUUCAUAAUAAGAAAAUCUGGACAAACCCCUAAUAAUUUUUUCAUUUACUUCUCUCAUCGACUAUUUCUUUAUUCAACUAGGAAAAUAUAUGUUGUUUUACUAGUAAUUAGAAUAUUAGAGUGUAUUAGAGUGUCUUUUUGAGUACUUCAGUUAAGAAUAUUAGAGUGUAUGGCUUUAUGCAUUAGUUAGUAUUCAAACCGAAUAAACCAAAGAUAUCGAACUGAAUAAAUCGAGAUCGAAACGAGAAAAACCGAUCCAUACCUAUAGGAUUUUAAGAAAUCAAAAAUUAAAAAUACCGAAUCAAAAUAUCGUACCAUAUCGAACGACGAACACCCUUAUCCCUUGGUGAGUUAAAUUGGGGAAUUAUAUAGUAACUUAAGUAAUUUGAUAAUUUAAAAGACAAAAAUAAUAUUAACGAUCAUGUAACAUAUGAUAUAGCUAUAUGAGCGCAAUUAAAGUUUCUAGGAAAUAGCUACAUGAGAAUUGAGCGCAAUAGAAGUUCCUAGGAAAUCGUACAUAUGUGAAUUGAUAAGACCUAGCGACACGGUCGAAGCUUGGCUCUAACCAAAGUAAUAAAUUACAAUUCAGUAUAAUCCCACUUAGUGGGGUCUGGGGACGACACGGUCGAAGCUUGGCUCUAAACAAAGUAAUAAAUUACAAUUCAGUAUAAUCCCACUUAGUGGGGUCUGGGGAGGGUAGUAUGUACGCAGACCUUAUCUCUACCCUGGGGUAGAGAGGCUGUUUCCAAAUAUACCCCAGCAACCUUCUCUCCAAAAACUUCCCACCUUUGCUCUUGUGCAUAUUAUUGUAUAUUAUAUAGUUCCAAGUGUUUGAACUACAUAGGGAAAUACAUAAAGGAAAAACAAAUACAAAGUAGACUAUGGUUUGAGUUUGACUAAUAUCCGUCGACAACGUAAAGAAAAUUUUACACUAUCAGAUCACGAGAAAGAUAACUGUAAGUAAAGAUCAUCCAUAUAACAAGUAAUUAAGGGUGACGUGAUAGUGCAAAAAAUAUAUAUAUUGUCGACGUAUAUAAGUUAACUCUAUCUUUAUUAGAGAGCCAAUUCGUGAUAGUGCAAAAAAUAUAUAUGUUGUCAACGUAUAUAAGUUAACUCUAUCUUUAUUAGAGAGCCAAUUUAAGAAGUAGGGCAUGGACAUAUGUAACAGGAAGGAGUACAUGAGCAAAUCUCCAUUUUCCUACGUUGAAGCUCAGCAAAAAAGCCCUUUGAAACUGGAGUAAAAUAGUUGUCUAUAGUUGCAAUAGAAUCACUUAAAUAAUUACCAUCAGAAGAAGAAUUACAAAGAAUGAAAAGAAGGGAAAAAACCAUAAAAGUUGCAAAUAUGGACAUUUUGUUCUUCUUUGCCAUGGUUUAAAAUUUUGAGUGGCUA
rnacentral:lncRNA from 1 species